rnacentral:rRNA from 1 species
AACGUAGGAGACAAACGUUAUCCGGAGUUACUGGGCGUAAAGGGCGUGUAGGCGGUCUGUUAAGUCUGGCGUGAAAGCUCUCGGCUAAACCGGGAGAGGUCGUUGGAUACUGGCAGACUAGAGGACGGUAGAGGCGUGUGGAAUUCCGGGUGUAGUGGUGAAAUGCGCAGAUAUCAGGAGGAACACCAAUGGCGAAGGCAGCUCGCUGGAACGGUACUGACGCUGAGGCGCGAAAGCGUGGGGAGCGAACAGG